rnacentral:rRNA from 1 species
AAGACCUUGCGCUUUUGGAGCGGCCGAUGUCUGAUUAGCUUGUUGGUGAGGUAAAAGCUUACCAAGGCUUCGAUCAGUAGCUGGUCUGAGAGGACGACCAGCCACACUGGGACUGAGACACGGCCCAGACUCCUACGGGAGGCAGCAGUGGGGAAUUUUGGACAAUGGGGGCAACCCUGAUCCAGCCAUGCCGCGUGAGUGAAGAAGGCCUUCGGGUUGUAAAGCUCUUUCAGCCGGAACGAAACGGUUACGGUUAAUACCCGUGACUACUGACGGUACCGGAAGAAGAAGCACCGGCUAACUACGUGCCAGCAGCCGCGGUAAUACGUAGGGUGCGAGCGUUAAUCGGAAUUACUGGGCGUAAAGCGUGCGCAGGUGGUUUUGUAAGUCAGAUGUGAAAUCCCCGGGCUUAACCUGGGAACU